rnacentral:lncRNA from 1 species
GUAAAUCCUCUAGUAUAAAUAGAGCAUGUAUUGUUCAUCAAUUCAUCAAUCAAAAAAAAUAUUUAGCUUUUAUCUUUCAAUUCUCUCCUUUCUCAUGUAGCAUUGUUUCUUUAGCUUCUUUGCCUUCAAUUUAUUCCUAGCAGCAACCAACUUUAAAUCAUUUGCAAUUCAUUUUUCAAAUUCCCUUUUCAACCACUCACUUUAAUAUAUUCCAACCCCCCAUACUCAAUCACAUCACCCAUCUUUUCACCCUUUCUACCUUAUUUAUCAAAUACCAACAUGUCCCAAACCUUAGCCAACUAAACCCAUUUUCAGCUUUAGGCCGA